AAUGUGCUCAUCGGCGCCUGACCCUGAGAUGUGGAUCAGGCGGUAAUGAUAGUAUCUUGUACCUGAUCCGGUG
rnacentral:tRNA from 1 species